UACGUAGGUGGCGAGCGUUGUCCGGAUUUACUGGGCGUAAAGAGCGCGCAGGCGGCUGGUCAAGUCCGAUGUGAAAGCUCCCGGCUUAACUGGGAAAUUGCAUCGGAAACUGAUCGGCUGGAAGGUGGGAGAGGGUAGCGGAAUUCCCGGUGUAGUGGUGAAAUGCGUAGAUAUCAGGAAGAACACCUAUGGCGAAGGCAGCUCUCUGGGACGGUACUGACGCUGAGACGCGAAAGCGUGGGGAGCGAACAGG
rnacentral:rRNA from 1 species